AGGGUGGUUAUGGAAUCAGUUAUUACACAAUUGGAACAAGGCAUGUGUAAUUACACAUUCAGUUGCUGAAGGUUAUUCCACAUGUGUAACUACUGAUGUUAUUCUUGUUCCACAAUGUAACUAAUGUUUUGUAAUUACACGUUUGAAAGUAAUCUGUGAAUUACCAUGUUAAUAAUUUAAAACAAAAUCUGACCUUGUUACAUAUAACUGCA